UACGGAGGGUGCAAGCGUUAUCCGGAUUCACUGGGUUUAAAGGGUGCGUAGGUGGAAUGGUAAGUCAGUGGUGAAAUCUCCAAGCUUAACUUGGAACUGCCGUUGAUACUAUCAUUCUUGAAUAUCGUGGAGGUAAGCGGAAUAUGUCAUGUAGCGGUGAAAUGCUUAGAUAUGACAUAGAACACCGAUUGCGAAGGCAGCUUGCUACACGAUCAUUGACACUGAGGCACGAAAGCGUGGGGAUCAAACAGGG
rnacentral:rRNA from 1 species